GAAUAAAUUUUACCUAAACUUAUGGCGAAAAUGUGCCAUUUCAUUGUUUUUUUAAUUUGUUUUGUUUUUUCGAGACAGGGUUUCUCUGUAUAGCCCUGGCUGUUCUGGAACUCACUCUGUAGACCAGGCUGGCCUUGAACUCAGAAAUCUGCCUGCCUCUGCCUCCCAAGUGCUGGGAUUAAAGGUGUGUGCCACACGCCCGGUCAUUUCAUUGUUCUUAAACCAUCUUAAAAAUAUGCAGCUUAGAAACCUCAGAUACCAACAGGUAAAAUAGCGUAUGCACCCAGUUUUUGUCUUAAUAUACAUCUUAAAUAUUUUCUCAUCUUUCCUCUAAAUAAUUUAAUGGUUUUAUAAUAUUUCAUCAUAUGGUUACAAAUUUAUAUAACCAUUUAUUCUUUGUUUGUUUGUGACAAGACCUCUACAUAGCCCUGGUUGUCCUGGAACUAUGUAGAUCAAGCUGCCAUCAGCUCACAGAGAUCUGCCUGCCUCUGCCUCCUGAGUGCUGGGACUAAAGAUACCAUACCAGGCUUAGUUAUUGGUAAUUGAGACAGAGUCUUUCUACAUAGUCCUGGUGCCCUGGAAUUCACUAUGUGUAGGUAGGCUGCCCUUGAACUUGACCUGCCUACCUCCCCCUCCCUAAGUGGUAGGAGUUUGUGUCCCCUUGCUUGGCUGUAUAACCAUUUAUUUUGUCCUUUAUGAAAAUAAACAGCCAGGCUGUGGUGGCUCACAUCUUUAAUCCCAGCACCCUGGAGGUAGAGGCAGGUAGAUGAUCUGUGAGUUGGAGGAGAGCCAGGGCUACAGGGAGAAAAAAACAGCAUACGGCCCUUUUCACUAUUAUAACAGAAGUUAUAACCAUUAGUAUAUAUAAUCCAACCUCUCUGUAUUUGGGUUAUUUUGUAUAGAUAUAGUACAGUUUAUAAUUUGAGUCAGAAAGUAUAAAUCCGAUUAAAUUCUUUGAAUGUUUUUGCUUGAUUGUAGCUCCAAGGAGAAAGUCAAUGUCCUAGAACGUCUAGUGAGUGAGCCAGUGUGGUUAGGGCCCCAGGGGGGAAUGUAGGUGACCUAGAGAGCCUAGUGAGCUAGUGUUGUGGCCUCAGGGGGGAAGCUGAGUCUCCUUGAGAGCCUUGUCAGCAAGUGUUAGCUUCUAUCCUCUUUCUUCAAUGGGAUUGUUUCUUUUUCACCAGCUUUGAAAUUUCUAAGAAGUUGACAGUUGCCAUUUCUACCGGAAGAGUUGGGUUUCUUCCUUCAGGCUCUUCAUUAUCUUUCCUUCAGGGCUAUUAUUAUAGAAUCGAGUAAAAGCACAGAGUGGAAAUGUGGUGCAUUAAGUCACCGCCUAGGCAAUAUUCAAACUUUUACUUUUAAACUGUCAGCGGUCUUUGAUGACUCAUAAAUGAGAGAAAUAUUCUCCAUAAAGACCUGUAUUUCUUUCCUCUUAAACCUAACUUGUUUUACUUGAUCAUACAGGUUUUUUUUUUUUUUUAAAUUACUGAUUUUAAUAUAUGCACAAAGACCAGUUUCGUGAGUCUACUAGGAAAUAAUUUUAAAGCUAUUGGAAAGACUAUAAUCAUGCAUAGAUCUUUUUUUGACUUUAUGUAAAACUGUAACCUUUUAAAAGUUUUAUUAGCAUAUAUUGAUAUGUAUUGGGUUUCAUGAUGACAUUUUCCUAUGUGAUUCCUGGUAAUCUCCUUGUUCCUACCUAGUCCCCUUCUAUUUUCUUGUAAGAAUAUACUUUUUCUUUUUCUGAGACAGGGUGUCCGUGUGUAGACCAGGCUGGCCUUGAACUCACAGAACUGAGCUUAAAGGCAUGUGCCAUCACUCCUUGCAAGAAUACAGUCUCUUUGGUAUUAUUUUACCCUACCUAGUAAUUGUAACUAUUUAGUUAAAGAAUCUAGAAGUUUUAACAAGGAAAAAGGAAAAGAAAGCCUUGUGUGCUGUCAUAGAGCACUUACAUAGAGCUCUUGUGCUUUAUUUAGCAUCCCUUAGAAUUUUACUCAGAGCCAAUUUAAAUUGUACUUUAUGAUUAUAACCACACGAGAGUGAGACGGAAGGACAUCAUUGUAUGUAUGCCCUUUGCCCUAACAGUCGAAUUGUUAUUUUCAUCUUUGUUUAUUAUUAUACAGUAUUAAGUGUAUUUGUUUGUUUUUCUAGCCUGUAGUAGAUUAGAAACCAGUCGAGAAGGAUAUGGAUAACUGGGAUAGAGCCGUCAUUUUGGAGCUACUGAAGGUUUACACACUCAGUUUAACUUGGUGCAGCCCAUAUGUUCUUACAUGUGAAGAUUGCUGCCAAGAAAUGGCAAAAUAAGAUUUAAGUUUUCUGCUUAAGGACACAGAAAAGUUAACAAUUUAAAUUAGAUAAUUUUAAAGCAGCCUUGUCAGAGCCUUAUCUAUGUCUGCACUUAUGUUAAUGUUACAGUUUAUCUGCAGAAUUCCCAAAAGGAAAAAUUUUAUCUUUGCCAACAAUCUCCCUACCCAGAUGGAGACACUGGUCAAAUCCUGGUGAAUUUAACUAGCAACUCAGACACUUAAAUAUACACUUUAAGAGCCUUUUAUGAACCAUAAGGCCAGCCAGAUAGCCUUCCUCCUUUCCUCCCUCCUUCCUUCCCUCAUUCCCUCAUUCUUCUGAUUUUUGAUUUUUCAAUGUAGCCCUAGCUGUCCUGGAACUUGCUUUAUAAACCAGGCUGGUCUCUAAUUUAUAGAGAUCUGCUUCCUGAGUGCUGGGACUAAAGGUGUGUACUGUCACCACCACUACCCGAGCUCAUUCCUAUCUUCAUAAAACAAAAAACUUCCUAUGUUAGAGUGACAAGAAGUUGAUAGUUCCUAGAUUAGUAAGUGGAUAGCUAAGACUUGGCUCUUGGAAUCCUCAUCGCACCGUUAGAAGGUGUUGAUUCAGGGAAGCCUGUCAGAGUAGAAGACUUAGGGCCUGGCGGCCUAGGUGAGUGAACAACUUUGGUGAUUUAUCUUUGGUUGUGAGCCAUCUCUCUAGUCCUAGCUCUUGUAAUCUAGUGUCAACUGAUAUAUGCGUGCUUUCUUUAUCUCAUUUCUUCUAUGUAUGCGCAAUCUUUUGUGUUAUAGGUUCAACAGGAGCCAGGAAAGUUAGUUAUAUAAUGAGCAAAAUGUUACAUAUGUCAUUGUAAAAUCUGGGGUAAAAAUAGUGCUCAAUGGCUGGGCAGUGGUGGCACACGCCUUUAAUCCCAGCACUCAGGAGGCAGAGGCAGGCGGAUUUCUGAGUUCGAGGCCAGCCUGGUCUACAAAGUGAGUUCCAGGACAGCCAGGGCNNNNNNNNNNNNNNNNNNNNNNNNNNNNNNNNNNNNNNNNNNNNNNNNNNNNNNNNNNNNNNNNNNNNNNNNNNNNNUUUUUUUUUUUUUUUUUAUUUUAGUCAAGAUCUCACUGUGUAGUCCUGGUUGACCCAGAACUCACUGUGUAGACCAGGCUGGCUUCAAAGUCACAGAGAUCCGCCUGCCCCUGCCUCUUGAAUGCUGGGAUUAAAGGUGUGCACCACUGUGUCCAGAUUCAGAAUAUUUUUGUUAUUGCUUGCUUUUUUUUUUUAAAGUUUUGUUUAUUUUAUGUAUAUGAGUAUGUUGUAGCUGUACUGAUUGUUGUGAGCUAUCAUGUGGUUACUGGGAAUUUGAGUUCAGAAUCUCUGCUUGAUCUGGUUGGCCCCACUCGCUUUGGCCUAAAGAUUGAUAUGUUAUUAUAUCUAAGUAUACACUGUAGCUGUCUUCAUAUCACCAGCAGAGGGCAUCAGAUCUCAUUAUGGUUGGUUUUGAGCCAGCAUGUGGUUGCUGGGAUUUGAACUCAGGACCUUCGGAAGAGCAGUCAGGGCUCUUAACUGCUGAGCCAUCUCUCCAGCCCUGUUGCUUGCUUUUUGUUCUUGUUUUGAUAAAAGGUCUCGCUAUGUGGGUCUGGUUGGUAUAGAACUUGCUAUGGAGUGCAGGCUGGCUUCAUUAACAGAUCCUCUUCUGCCUCCUGAGUGCUAGAACUAAAGGUGUACACCAACCACCACACCUAAGUGAGACCUGUUGUCUUUUGAAGUGGUAAGAAUAUAAAUAUGUUUCUUAUAUAUGCACAUUUACUAUGUAUUUUCUAAUGCCAGCUAUUGGUAAGUGAUAAAUAAAAAAACAGCAAGGUAGCUGGGCAUGGUGGUGCAGGCCUUUAAUCUCAGCACUUGAGAGGCAGAGGCAGGUAUAUCUCUGAGUUGGAGGCCAGCUUGGUCUUUUGGGUGGAGGGCUUCAGGACAGUAACACAGAGACACCCUUUCUCAAAAAGCAACAGC
rnacentral:lncRNA from 1 species